rnacentral:rRNA from 1 species
GACGAACGCUGGCGGCGUGCUUAACACAUGCAAGUCGAACGGAAAGGCCCUGCUUUUGUGGGGUGCUCGAGUGGCGAACGGGUGAGUAACACGUGAGUAACCUGCCCUUGACUUUGGGAUAACUUCAGGAAACUGGGGCUAAUACCGGAUAGGAGCUCCUGCUGCAUGGUGGGGGUUGGAAAGUUUCGGCGGUUGGGGAUGGACUCGCGGCUUAUCAGCUUGUUGGUGGGGUAGUGGCUUACCAAGGCUUUGACGGGUAGCCGGCCUGAGAGGGUGACCGGCCACAUUGGGACUGAGAUACGGCCCAGACUCCUACGGGAGGCAGCAGUGGGGAAUAUUGCACAAUGGGCGGAAGCCUGAUGCAGCAACGCCGCGUGCGGGAUGACGGCCUUCGGGUUGUAAACCGCUUUCGCCUGUGACGAAGCGUGAGUGACGGUAAUGGGUAAAGAAGCACCGGCUAACUACGUGCCAUCAGCCGCGGUGAUACGUACGGUGCGAGUGUUGUCCGGAUUUAUUGGGCGUAAAGGGCUCGUAGGUGGUUGAUCGCGUCGGAAGUGUAAUCUUGGGGCUUAACCCUGAGCGUGCUUUCGAUACGGGUUGACUUGAGGAAGGUAGGGGAGAAUGGAAUUCCUGGUGGAGCGGUGGAAUGCGCAGAUAUCAGGAGGAACACCAGUGGCGAAGGCGGUUCUCUGGGCCUUUCCUGACGCUGAGGAGCGAAAGCGUGGGGAGCGAACAGGCUUAGAUACCCUGGUAGUCCACGCUGUAAACGGUGGGUACUAGGUGUGGGGUCCAUUCCACGGGUUCCGUGCCGUAGCUAACGCUUUAAGUACCCCGCCUGGGGAGUACGGCCGCAAGGCUAAAACUCAAAGGAAUUGACGGGGCCCCGCACAAGCGGCGGAGCAUGCGGAUUAAUUCGAUGCAACGCGUAGAACCUUACCUGGGUUUGACAUGGAUCGGGAGCGCUCAGAGAUGGGUGUGCCUCUUUUGGGGUCGGUUCACAGGUGGUGCAUGGCUGUCGUCAGCUCGUGUCGUGAGAUGUUGGGUUAAGUCCCGCAACGAGCGCAACCCUUGUUCACUGUUGCCAGCACGUUAUGGUGGGGACUCAGUGGAGGCCGCCGGGGUCAACUCGGAGGAAGGUGGGGAUGACGUCAAGUCAUCAUGCCCCUUAUGUCCAGGGCUUCACGCAUGCUACAAUGGCUGGUACAGAGAGUGGCGAGCCUGUGAGGGUGAGCGAAUCUCGGAAAGCCGGUCUCAGUUCGGAUUGGGGUCUGCAACUCGACCUCAUGAAGUAGGAGUCGCUAGUAAUCGCAGAUCAGCAACGCUGCGGUGAAUACGUUCCCGGGGCU